AACGAACGCUGGCGGCAUGCCUAACACAUGCAAGUCGAACGAGACCUUCGGGUCUAGUGGCGCACGGGUGCGUAACGCGUGGGAACCUGCCCUUAGGUUCGGAAUAACUCCCCGAAAGGGGUGCUAAUACCGGAAAAUGUCUUCGGACCAAAGAUUUAUCGCCUUUGGAUGGGCCCGCGUUGGAUUAGCUAGUUGGUAGGGUAAAAGCCUACCAAGGCGACGAUCCAUAGCUGGUCUGAGAGGAUGAUCAGCCACACUGGGACUGAGACACGGCACAGACUCCUACGGGAGGCAGCAGUGGGGAAUAUUAGACAAUGGGCGAAAGCCUGAUCCAGCAAUGCCGCGGGAGUGAUGAAGGCCUUAGGGUUGUAAAGCUCUUUUACCCGGGAUGAUAGUGACAGUACCGGGAGAAUAAGCUCCGGCUAACUCCGUG
rnacentral:rRNA from 1 species